UACGUAGGUGACCAGCGUUGUCCGGAUUUACUGGGCGUAAAGAGCGCGCAGGCGGUCGUUCAAGUCGAGUGUGAAAGCCCCGGCUCAACUGGGGAGGGUCAUUCGAUACUGAUCGACUGGAAGGCAGGAGAGGGAAGCGGAAUUCCCGGUGUAGUGGUGAAAUGCGUAGAUAUCGGGAGGAACACCAGUGGCGAAGGCGGCUUCCUGGCCUGUUCUUGACGCUGAGGCGCGAAAGCUAGGGGAGCAAACGGG
rnacentral:rRNA from 1 species